rnacentral:lncRNA from 1 species
AUCCUACUAUAUAAAAGGUACUAUUUUAGGAGCUUCUAAGGGGUGCCACAUAGACAGAAAUAUUUCCCACCAAUCAAUAUGCCAUGUCACUACAGGCUGAGUCUCAAACCAAUUUGAAGUUCCGGCCCAACCUUGCCCCAUUCCGGCCCAACCUUAUACAUGUGGAGAAUAUUUCUAAAAACUAAAAUACCACGGACGGUCCAACUCUAAAUUUAAAAAAAAGUUUCCAAUUAUCUAAAUAUCUAGAGAACACUCAGCCUCCCCCUAAUCACCAAAAUAGGUUGCUUAUGUCCAUUUGAAUGAAGACGUCCAUUACGCUCUUUCUAUACGAAAUAGAUAACUGCUUGAAAGAUGAACUUGUGUUGUGUUUUGACGGUUAAUAGAAAGUAAAAUGAGAAGAAAUUAUUCAAUAGAAAUUGCAUAGAUUUUUUUUGAAUAACUGAUAAAAUAUUAUUGAGUAUAUUAUUUUAUAUCAAGUAAAAUAUAUUGAAACCCUUCCUUUUGUGCUAAACACAUCUUAAAUGAGAUGAUAUAAUUAUCAAUGAACAGAAAAUUUGAAAUGCGUUAUUUUACAUUUUUGGGAACAUCAUUUUUUUUCCGUAGAUAUUCCCUACAUAUUAAAAGAGAAACAUUACAACUUUUGAACCAUGACACAUGUCAUCACGAAAAUCAAGCUUAGAAAAAUAAGUUGGUUCAUCUAAACAUAUUUAUACUGUUCAUUAACCCUAAUCAUAUAAUUAAUUAUUAAUAUAAAAAUAGUAUUCAUUAUUUCCUUGAAUAGAACAUACGGAAUUAUAAUAUAUAUGAUAAUUAAUGAUUUUAAAUAAUAAAGAUUUGAUAAUAUUUUGUCUCAUGUGGCACCCAUAGAAUUACUUCAUUCCUAGGAAGGUUGACAAAAUCUUUUAUUUGCAACACUCUGAAUGUGGUAAAUAUAUGAGAUAUACUUUAAAAAAUAUGCAAAAAAAAAAAAUAUCUAAUGUUUCAGUUGUUAACUUCUCAAAUAAAUAAAGUUAAUAUCUAUAAUUCUCUUAUAUUUGUAUCUAUAAUCUGUUUAUAUAACGAUUUAUGUAUUUCUAA